AGAGUUUGAUCAUGGCUCAGAACGAACGCUGUCGACAUGCUUAACACAUGCAAGUCGAACGGGUAUAACUUGUUAUACCAGUGGCAAACGGGUGAGUAAUACGUAGGAAUGUACCCAGUAGUUCCGAAUAACAAUUGGAAACGAUUGAUAAUACGGGAUGAGAUAGAGAUAUGAAAGGUUUAGAAAUAAACUGCUAUUGGAGCAGUCUACGGUGGAUUAGAUAGUUGGUGAGGUAAAGGCCCACCAAGUCGAAGAUCCAUAGCUGGUCUGAGAGGAUGAGCAGCCACAUUGGGACUGAGAUACGGCCCAGACUUCUACGGGAGGCAGCAGUGGGGAAUAUUGGACAAUGGGGGAAACCCUGAUCCAGCGAUGUCGAGUGAAUGAUGAAGGCCUUAGGGUUGUAAAAUUCUUUUAUAAGCGAGUAAGAAGAAAGUAACUUAUGAAUAAGCUCCGGCAAACUUCGUGCCAGCAGCCGCGGUAAUACGAAGGGAGCGAGCGUUGUUCGGAAUCACUGGGCGUAAAGGGCGUGUAGGCUGUUUUACAAGUUAAGGAAAAAAUCCCUGAGCUUAACUCGGGUUCCUUUCUUAAUACUGUAAGACUAGAGUCUCUAAGAGGAUGAUGGAAUUAUGCAUGUAGAGGUGGAAUUCAUAGAUAUGCAUAAGAACACCGGAGGCGAAGGCGAUCAUCUGGUAGAGGACUGACGCUGAGGCGCGAAGGCGUGGGGAGCAAACAGGAUUAGAUACCCUGGUAGUCCACGCAGUAAACGAUGAAUGCUAGAUGUUGGGCACAUAUGUAUUAGCUCGGCGUUGUAGUUAACACAUUAAGCAUUCCGCCUGGGGACUACGGUCGCAAGAUUAAAACUCAAAGGAAUUGACGGGGACCCGCACAAGCGGUGGAUUAUGUGGUUUAAUUCGAAGCUACGCGCAGAACCUUACCAGCUUUUGACAUGGUAUUUAAGUUUACAGAGAUGUGAAUGUCCGCGAGGAAGAUACACACAGGUGCUGCAUGGCUGUCGUCAGCUCGUGUCGUGAGAUGUUGGGUUAAGUCCCUAAACGAGCGCAACCCUCGCUUAUAUUUGCCAUCAGGUUAUGCUGAGCACUAUAUUUGGACUGCCUGUGUUAAGCAGGAGGAAGGUGGGGAUGACGUCAAGUCCUCAUGGCCCUUACAGGCUGGGCUACACACGUAAUACAAUGGCUGUCGCAAUGAGAUGCUUUUUAGCUAAACUCCAAUUGCAGUCUCAGUACGGAUUGUUUUCUGCAACUCGAAAGCAUGAAGUCGGAAUCGCUAGUAAUCGCGUAUCAGCACGUCGCGGUGAAUACGUUCUCGGGUCUUGUACACACUGCCCGUCAAACCAUGGAAGUUGGCUGUACCUUAAGUCGUCGUGUUAACCCUCACGGGAGACAAACGCCCAAGGUAUUGUCAGUGACUGGGGUUAAGUCGUAACAAGGUAACC
rnacentral:rRNA from 1 species